UGGGGAAUAUUGGACAAUGGGCGCAAGCCUGAUCCAGCCAUGCCGCGUGAGUGAUGAAGGUCCUAGGGUUGUAAAGCUCUUUCACCGGUGAAGAUAAUGACGGUAACCGGAGAAGAAGCCCCGGCUAACUUCGUGCCAGCAGCCGCGGUAAUACGAAGGGGGCUAGCGUUGUUCGGAUUUACUGGGCGUAAAGCGCACGUAGGCGGACUAUUAAGUCAGGGGUGAAAUCCCGGGGCUCAACCCCGGAACUGCCUUUGAUACUGGUGGUCUUGAGUUCGGAAGAGGUGAGUGGAAUUCCGAGUGUAGAGGUGAAAUUCGUAGAUAUUGGGAGGAACACCAGUGGCGAAGGCGGCUCACUGGCUCGAUACUGACGCUGAGGUGCGAAAGCGUGGGGAGCAAACAGG
rnacentral:rRNA from 1 species